UCAGCACAGUGCUUUCACUGCUGACUAGGAGAAGCCACUCUUCCUGCUGAGCAUUAUCUGCAUAAACGACAAUGUGGCUUGUAGUGAAUUCAGCACUAUAGUGUUAUUGUUUGCCUCACUGAGUUGAUAAUGAGCCCCUGAUGAAGUCCAGUUGGAUGAAACGCGUUGGAUUUUGGUUCGGAUAUGAGAGCAUCGGAUAUGUAUUAAUUAAGAGAGCAUCUUCGGAUUAACAAACUGUCCGCAUUAUAUUGUUUUAUAUCUGAUGUCUGUAUUUUAAAUAUGUCAGCCAUUUGUUAUUCAAUGUGAUUCACUGUCUAACACUUUUAUACAAAUAAAUUGUAGUUUUUUAAGUGAA